AUUGAACGCUGGCGGCAGGCUUAACACAUGCAAGUCGAGCGGGGUGAUGGUGCUUGCACUAUCACUUAGCGGCGGACGGGUGAGUAAUGCUUAGGAAUCUGCCUAUUAGUGGGGGACAACAUCUCGAAAGGGAUGCUAGUACCGCAUACGUCCUACGGGAGAAAGCAGGGGAUCACUUGUGACCUUGCGCUAAUAGAUGAGCCUAAGUCGGAUUAGCUAGUUGGUGGGGUAAAGGCCUACCAAGGCGACGAUGUGUAGCGGGUCUGAGAGGAUGAACCGCCACACUGGGACUGAGCCACGGCCCAGACUCCUCCGGGAGGCAGCAGUGGGGAAUAUUGGACAAUGGGGGGAACCCUGAUCCAGCCAUGCCGCGUGUGUGAAGAAGGCCUUAUGGUUGUAAAGCACUUUAAGCGAGGAGGAGGCUCUUUUGGUUAAUACCCAAGAUGAGUGGACGUUACUCGCAGAAUCAGCACCGGCUAACUCUGUGCCAGCAGCCGCCGUAA
rnacentral:rRNA from 1 species